CCUACGGGCGGCUGCAGUGAGGAAUAUUGGUCAAUGGCCGGAAGGCUGAACCAGCCAUGCCGCGUGAAGGUCAGUGCCCUAUGGGCGUUAAACUUCUUUUGUGCGGGAGCAAUAAUGGUCACGUGUGGCCAGACGAGAGUACCGUACGAAUAAGCAUCGGCUAACCCCGGGGCAGCAGCCGCGGUAAUACGGGGGAUGCAAGCGUUAUCCGGAUUUAUGGGGUGUAAAGGUUGCGUAGGCUGGGAGGUAAGUCAGCGGUGAAAUGCCCCCGCUCAACGGGGUGAAGUGCCAUUGAUACUGCCUUGCUAGAAUGCGGAUGCCGUGGGAGGAAUGUGUGGUGUAGCGGUGAAAUGCAUAGAUAUCACACAGAACACCGAUUGCGAAGGCAUCUCACGAAUCCGCGAUUGACGCUGAUGUACGAAAGCGUGGGUAUCAAACAGGAUUAGAUACCCCGGUAGUC
rnacentral:rRNA from 1 species